rnacentral:rRNA from 1 species
CAGUAGCCGCGGGAACACGAAGGGGGCUAGCGUUGUUCGGAAUUACUGGGCGUAAAGCGCACGUAGGCGGACUUUUAAGUCAGGGGUGAAAUCCCGGGGCUCAACCUCGGAACUGCCUUUGAUACUGGAAGUCUUGAGUGUGGAAGAGGUAAGUGGAAUUGCGAGUGUAGAGGUGAAAUUCGUAGAUGUUCGCAGGAACACCAGUGGCGAAGGCGGCUUACUGGUCCACAACUGACGCUGAGGUGCGAAAGCGUGGGGAGCAAACAGGAUUAGAUACCCGGGUAGUCCCUGUCUCUUAUAC